AGUGAACGCUGGCGGUAGGCCUAACACAUGCAAGUCGAACGGCAGCACAGUAAGAGCUUGCUCUUACGGGUGGCGAGUGGCGGACGGGUGAGGAAUACAUCGGAAUCUACUUUUUCGUGGGGGAUAACGUAGGGAAACUUACGCUAAUACCGCAUACGACCUACGGGUGAAAGCAGGGGAUCUUCGGACCUUGCGCGAUUGAAUGAGCCGAUGUCGGAUUAGCUAGUUGGCGGGGUAAAGGCCCACCAAGGCGACGAUCCGUAGCUGGUCUGAGAGGAUGAUCAGCCACACUGGAACUGAGACACGGUCCAGACGCCUACGGGAGGCAGCAGUGGGGAACAUUGGACAAUGGGCGCAAGCCUGAUCCAGCCAUACCGCGUGGGUGAAGAAGGCCUUCGGGUUGUAAAGCCCUUUUGUUGGGAAAGAAAAGCAGCAGGUUAAUACCCCGCUGUUCUGACGGUACCCAAAGAAUAAGCACCGGCUAACUUCGUG
rnacentral:rRNA from 1 species